UGAGGAAUAUUGGUCAAUGGCCGAGAGGCUGAACCAGCCAAGUCGCGUGAGGGAUGACGGCCCUACGGGUUGUAAACCUCUUUUGUCGGGGAGCAAAGGACUUCACGUGUGGAGUUUCGAGAGUACCCGAAGAAAAAGCAUCGGCUAACCUCCGUGCCAGCAGCCGCGGUAAAUACGGAGGAUGCGAGCGUUAUCCGGAUUUAUUGGGUUUAAAGGGUGCGCAGGCGGAGUGUCAAGUCAGCGGUAAAAUUUCGGGGCUCAACCCCGGCGAGCCGUUGAAACUGACGCCCUUGAGUGCGCGAGGAGUAUGCGGAAUGCGUGGUGUAGCGGUGAAAUGCAUAGAUAUCACGCAGAACUCCGAUUGCGAAGGCAGCAUACCGGCGCGCAACUGACGCUCAUGCACGAAAAGCGUGGGUAUCGAACAGGAUUAGAUACC
rnacentral:rRNA from 1 species